UAAGGAAUAUUGGGCAAUGGGCGGAAGCCUGACCCAGCCAUCCCGCGUGCAGGAUGACGGCCCUAUGGGUUGUAAACUGCUUUUAUUGGAGAAGAAAGAGGUGCAUUUAUGUGCUUUUGACGGUAUCCUAUGAAUAAGCACCGGCUAACUCCGUGCCAGCAGCCGCGGUAAUACGGAGGGUGCAAGCGUUAUCCGGAAUCACUGGGUUUAAAGGGUGCGUAGGCGGCUUGAUAAGUCAGAGGUGAAAGCUGGCAGCUUAACUGUCAAACUGCCUUUGAUACUGUUGAGCUUGAAUCAGGUUAAGGUAGGCAGAAUGUGGCAUGUAGCGGUGAAAUGCAUAGAUAUGCCAUAGAAUACCAAUUGCGAAGGCAGCCUGCUGGGCCUGAAUUGACGCUGAGGCACGAAAGCGUGGGGAGCAAACAGG
rnacentral:rRNA from 1 species